GAUGAAGAACGCAGCGAAAUGCGAUAAGUAAUGUGAAUUGCAGAAUUCAGUGAAUCAUCGAAUCUUUGAACGCACAUUGCGCCCGCCAGUAUUCUGGCGGGCAUGCCUGUUCGAGCGUCAUUUCAACCAUCAAGCCCCGGGCUUGUGUUGGGGACCUGCGGCUGCCCGCAGGCCCUGAAAAGCAGUGGCGGGCUCGCUGUCACACCGAGCGUAGUAGCACACCUCGCACUGGGAAACAGCGCGGCCACGCCGUUAAUCCCCCAACUUCUGAACGUUUGACCUCGGAUCAGGUAGGAAUACCCGCUGAACUUAAGCAUAUCAAUAAGCGGAGGA
rnacentral:misc_RNA from 1 species